UACGUAGGGUGCGAGCGUUAAUCGGAAUUACUGGGCGUAAAGCGUGCGCAGGCGGUUUUGUAAGUCAGAUGUGAAAUUCCCGGGCUUAACCUGGGAACUGCGUUUGAAACUACAAGGCUAGAGUGUGGCAGAGGGGGGUGGAAUUCCACGUGUAGCAGUGAAAUGCGUAGAUAUGCGGAGGAACACCGAUGGCGAAGGCAAUCCCCUGGGCCUGCACUGACGCUCAUGCACGAAAGCGUGGGGAGCAAACAGG
rnacentral:rRNA from 1 species